CUGACUGCUAUCGGAUUGGUACUAAGCCAUGCGAGUCAUUGUAGCAAUACAAGGCGGACGGCUCAGUAACACGUAGUCAACCUAACUCGUGGACGUGGAUAACCUCGGGAAACUGAGAAUAAACCACGAUAGAUCAUAGUGCCUGGAAUGGCUUAUGGUCCAAACAGUUUACUGCCAUGGGAUGGGACUGCGGCCUAUCAGCUUGUUGGUGAGGUAAUGGCCCACCAAGGCGAUUACAGGUACGGGCUCUGAGAGGAGUAGCCCGGAGAUGGGUACUGAGACACGGACCCAGGCCCUAUGGGGCGCAGCAGGCGAGAAACCUUAGCAAUGUGCGAAAGCACGACUGGGUCAGUCCGAGUGAUUCCUGAUAAAGGAGUCUUUUGCCUGUCCUAAAAGCACAGGUGAAUAAGGGGUGGGCAAGUCUGGUGUCAGCCGCCGCGGUAAUACCAGCACCUCGAGUGGUCAGGACGUUUAUUGGGCCUAAAGCAUCCGUAGCCGGCUCUGCAAGUCUUCGGUUAAAUCCACCUGCUCAACAGGUGGGCCGCUGGAGAUACUACAGAGCUAGGGAGUGGGAGAGGCAGACGGUAUUCAGUGGGUAGGGGUAAAAUCCUCUGAUCCAUUGAGGACCACCAGUGGCGAAGGCGGUCUGCCAGAACACGUUCGACGGUGAGGGAUGAAAGCUGGGGGAGCAAACCGGAUUAGAUACCCGGGUAGUCCCAGCUGUAAACGAUGCAAACUCGGUGAUGCAUUGGCUUAUGGCCAAUGCAGUGCCGCAGGGAAGCCGUUAAGUUUGCCGCCUGGGAAGUACGGACGCAAGUCUGAAACUUAAAGGAAUGGCGGGGGAGCAC
rnacentral:rRNA from 1 species